UCCGAGUUGACCCCGGCAGUCUCCUACAAGUCCCCGGCAUUACCCGCUGGCAACAUAGGACAAGGGUUGCGCUCGUUGCGGGACUUAACCCAACAUCUCACGACACGAGCUGGCGACAGCCAUGCACCACCUGUGCACAGGCCCCGAAGGGCUGCCGUGUUUCCACGACACUCCUGUGCAUGUCAAGCCUAGGUAAGGUUCUUCGCGUCGCGUCGAAUUAAACAACAUGCUCCGCUGCUUGUGCGGGCCCCCGUCAAUUCCUUUGAGUUUCAGCCUUGCGGCCGUACUCCCCAGGCGGGGCACUUAACGCGUUAGCUGCGGCACGGAAGGGGUCGAUCCCACCCGCGCCCAGUGCCCAUCGUUUACGGCGUGGACUAC
rnacentral:misc_RNA from 1 species